UUUUAGUUUCAUUUCCUAAGUGUACUACAUUGAAAAAAGUGUAAAAAACCUUGUAAUUGUCAGGGAACGAAGCUACGUUGAGUGAGAAACAGGCUUUAUUCAGAAGUCGUAUGGGGUUCACGUUCUUCAAACGAUCGACUAGCCGUACAAACCAGCCCCAAACCAGACGGAGGUCUUUCAUGUUUCGCCGAAGAAGUCGUCAGUCAGUGGACGAGAGAAACUCGCACAGUGGAAAUGCUGCGACUAGUCAGCGCCAUGUUGGCGAGUGUUGCGCUGAGUUGAGCAGUUCAAGCGAUAUAGGAAGAUGUUUGCGAGCGAUCGGUGACGAUCUUAACAACAGCACGCUGAGUCUGCACUCAGCAACGUAACCCAGUUGGAUUAUCCGUUUGAAUAUUGAAUCAGAGAGAAAAAUCAGAGGUAGUAUUUGCCACCGACCACGAUUACAUCCAAAGGGACUAUAUGAAAAGUAGAAAGAGGAACAGAGUAGAGAAAGAGGAACUUGCGUGUUGACAUAUCAUUUCCGCUUUCACUUGGCAAUGAGCUGUGUGAUCUACUAUGUUUGGCAAUCCCUAUUCACUGCGUCAAGAUGACAGAGACUUUGUUUAUGCCUUAUUUAUUGCAUACGUGUGUUGAAAUAAAUCUGUAACGACUUUUCAUC